GCCUGGGUGGCUCAGUUGGUUAAGCGUCUGACUUCCGCUCAGGUCACAACCUCACACUCCGUGAGUUCGAGCCCCACAUCAGGCU
rnacentral:tRNA from 1 species